AGGUUGGUCAGCAGUUUAAAUCCUGGCUUCUAAACUACUAGCCACAUAACUUUUGGUGAAUCACUUUUGACUUCAAUUUUUCCUUUUUAAAAUGGAAGAAUAAUACCUUAGAAUAGCUGGGAGUGGUGGUGUGCUUUGUAACUCUGAUGUGUUAGGGUGACUUGCUCUUUUGAAUCAGAGCUAAAAUCCUGGAUAUUCUUCCGCUGAGGUCGACUUACUUAAGGUGAGGGAGUCUAAAUUUGCUCCAUGGUCCCACCUUUAGGCUGAAGGAACAACACUUAGGACUGUUAUGAGGAUUAAUCAGAGGUGUUACAGUAAUGUCUGUAACAAGAUAAGUGCUUGAGUAAGCUAUUAUUGCUAGCUAGUAAUUGUUCUUACUGAUAGGAAAGACUUCUUAACAUCUGAAAAUACAGUGUGAAAAAGUAGAUUUCUACUCAUUUAAGAGUUGAGUGUCUUAGGGUAGUAAGAAUAUAUCAUUGAAGAGUAUUGAUGAAAUCCUUAGGAAGAUGAAUUUGGAUAAUAGUUUUCCAGUUGACCUUGUUCAAUUUAACUUUACAUGUAUAUUAAGAAAAAUAUAAUUGUCAAAAUUGUUGAGUUAAUUUUUUUCUUUUGUGUGGUAUGGUUUGUACAUUUCAGAGGACAAAUUGUGGGAGUUGAGUCCACUGUGGGUUUUGGGCUUCCAACUCAGGUCAUCUGGCUUGACAGCAGGCAUCUUUGUAACUGCUGAGCCAUCUUGCCAGUCCCUUUUUGGGUUUUUGUUUUUGAGAUAAACACUCACUAUGUGGCCCUGGCUGGCCUGGAACUCAGAGAUCUGCAUGUUUCUGCUUUCUUAGUACUGGGAUGAACAGUGUGUACCUUGGCUUCUGGACCAUGACUAGUUUUAAAAUUUUUUUCUUUUAUUUUUAAGUGUUUGACUACAUGCAUGUGUAUGUAUGCUUACCACGUUCAUGCCUGGUGUUUUUGGAGGUCAGAAGAAAAUGUCAGAUUCCUGGAACUGAAGUUACAGAUUGUUGUAAGCCAUCAUAUGAGUUCUGGGAACUGAGUCCUUGCCUUCUGCAAAAGCUUCAAGUGCCCUUAACUGUCGAGCUAUCACCCUAGCCCCCAUGGCUAGUGAUUUCUAAAAAAUUAUUUCAUUUUAUCCACAUUGUGUGACUAUGCCACUCGUGUGGUUGCCCGAGGAAACAGGUGGAGUUUAGUUUUAACAUAAAACAACAUGCAUAAAUCUUGAAAAACCAAGUACAUCAAUGUAUUAACAUCUAGCUCUCAGACUUCUGCUUGUUUUACUGUAGUAAUGCUUUUCCUAGCAUUUUUAAAAUAGCAUAGUGUAGUACAGUAGUUUUUAACCUUUUUAAUGCUGAGACCUUUUUAAUACAGUUCAUGUUGUGAUGACCCUCACCAAAAAAUUAUUUGUCUUAAAGGUUUAAUUCAUAUAUAUGAGUGUUCUCUUUUCAAGUACACCAGAUUCAAAUCCCAUUAUAGAUAGCUGUAAGCCACCAUGUGGUUGCUGGGAAUUGAACUCAGGACCUCUGGAAGACCAGCUGGAGCUCUUAACCCCUGAGCCAUCUCUUUAGUCCCUCCAUAAAGUUAUUUUUGUUACUACUACAUAACUGUAAUUUUGCUACUGUUAUGGAUUGUAAUGUAAAUAUCUAUUUUGAUGGUCUUAGGUGACCCCUGUGAAAGUGUUGAGAGCCACUGACAUAGCAUCUGUUCAAAGCAAUGAGUGUAGAAUGACUUUGGGUUGUUUGUAGCAGUUGUGAUAUACUGAUAUCUAUCUGAUUCUCUUGGUGCAAGGUUGAAAGUAUAGUCUAGAGCUUUCUGCACAGUAGGCAAGAAUUUUUAAUUGCUGAGGUGUACCCCCAGCUCUUGAAAACAAAAAGCUCUCUUCCUAUUAAGUUAUUCCUUCCUUCCUUCCUUCCUUCCUUCCUUCCUUCCUUCCUUCCUUCCUUCCUUCCUUCCUUCCUUCCUAGUUUUAUGCCAAAGCUUGCUGCUUUGGGCCUGAAACAUUUGGCAGUAGCCCUUACCUCCUGCUAUUCCAGGAAUUAAAGGGUGGUGGAAGGGGGGGGGGGAGUUUUUUAGAAGUCAUGUUCCCAGUAAUUUUUUUUUUAAAAGCUAGGCUUCACUAUCUAUAUGUGCAACCCCCACACCCCAUGCCUUCCUACUUUGGCUCCAUCAAUGGAGUAGUCCUUGGAAGCUUCUGGAUCUAAGUCCUUUCUCUAAAGUCGUUAAACUACCAUCUCGAUUCCUCAAUAUAUGAGCCUGUGGGAUAAAGUUAAGAUCUCUCCUCUCAAGCAAACAAGCCCAAUUGGUAAGAAGGCAUAGGUAGGACAAUUUUUAUAAAAGUCAUUGCUAGUUGUUGUGGUGGGACACACAUUUAAUAAUUCCAGAGAUUUGCCUGCUUAUGUUCUUCAGUGCUGGGAUUAAUAGGUCAUUUUUUUUUAAGUUUCCUUUUUGUUUUGAGAUAGUGUCUGUUUCUGUAGUCACCUGACCUGAUUCCUUCCUGGGAUUAAAGACUUGUGUACCACCACCACCCAGCUAGUUUCUUACAGGUGAUUAUUUAACAUGUUCAUUGAAAAGCAAGAUUAGAUGGUAAAUUGAGAGCCUGAUACUUUGGGAGAUGGAGGAAGAAAACAAAUUGGGGCCAAACCUGGGCUAGUAAGACUCUGUCUCAAAGUCUGAGGCUGGUGGUACAUAAUUCUAUGCUUCUGUACACAUCUAGAGUUUCUGAGGUUCUUCUUUAUUUAAUACAAUUUCUUCCUUAAUUUGAUUACUACUUACAAAUACAUGUCAGUUGGUUUAUAGUACCUUUCGAUACUCAAGAAAGGUUUGGCAUUGAUACUUGAGGAAAGGUUUGGCAUAUGAUCUAUUGACCCAAUUUAUUUAAAAUAGAUGUAUCAGGUAAAUAACGACAAAAAAACAGUGAAGAUUUACUGCUGAUGCAGUGUAAUACUUUGGAACACAGAAGCAAUUUCAGAGAGUAGAAUACCACUUCUAAAAAUUGGUUUAUUUAGGCCGGGCGUGGUGGUGCACGCCUUUAAUCCCAGCACUAGGGAGACAGAGGCAGGCGGAUUUCUGAGUUCGAGGCCAGCCUGGUCUCUACAAAGUGAGCUCCAGGACAGCUAGGGCUAUACAGAGAAACCCUGUCUCGAAAAAACCAACCCCCCCCCCCAAAAAAUUGGUUUAUUUUGUAUUUGUGUGUGUGUUGAGGUAGGAGGGGGUCAGGCAAGGGUGGGUUCUCACCUCCAUGUGAUUCCUAGGCAUUGAACUUAGAUGGUCAGCCUUGGCAACAGUUGUUUUUUAUUUUUUUAUUUUCCUCCCACUGAACCAUCUUUGCAGGGGCUCUAAAAUACCAUUUAAAAAACCUUAAGACUUCAUUCAUAUGCCAUAUAGGUUAUCCAUUUAAGAGUAGUAUUUUCUUAUAAUUUUAAAUUGUAUUACCAUAUCAUCACUUUCUAGUUUUUAACGUUUUUUGGAGUGGGUGUCUCACUCUGUAGACCAGGCCUCAGGGAUUUGCCUGCCCUGCUUCUUUAGUACUGAGAUUAAAGGCCACUAUCUAAUUUAAAAUGUUUUUUUACUUAUUCAAACAAAUCUGUACUUGCACUUAAUUAUAAAAAUGACAGCUGUUGUGAUAGUUCAGGAUGCCUGAGUUUGGAGGUGGCCUGUACUGUUAUGAUAGAUGGGGGUGGUGUGUGGGUGGGGCCUAGGGAUGAAGCUCUGGUGGUUGAAGGUGUGGUUACUCACACAUGUAAUUCCUACAUUGACUAGGCGGAAACAAGAUAGCUAAAACUUCAGGGCUAUCCUAGGCUACAAUGUGAGAUGGUGUCCUGGAGUAAAGAGAUCAACCUUCCAGUCUUAAGUACAGAUAUUUAGAAUGAGCUUUUUAUCUAUUAUUUCAUCUAUAUACUUAAUCAUCUGGGAUUGUUAGGGAGAGUUAGAUAAUAAGUAAGAAGCAUGUUAUAACUUGUAUACUAUGGCUUUAUCGAUACAGUUUUAUCAAGUCAAAGUAUAUAGGAUAUUAUAGUCUUUGUUCUUGGAAGCAGUGCUGAGCUUAAGGGUGAGUAAGGUUUAUGAGAGUAUAUCUGCAUUGCUAUGGAAGCACACAAAAAAAAAGGCUUAAAAAUGGGGUGGGGGUGAGGGAAGGGAUGCGUUUGCUAGAGUUAUUUGCCAAGUGUGGUGGUAUCUGUGUUUAGUGAAAAUUGGAGCAUGGCAAUUAACUGAAACCAGUAUUUCAGAUACUCUUACCUAUAUCUUUUCUGUGUCUAUUUCUUUUUUUUUUAAAGAUUUAUUUAUUUAUUUAUUUAUUUAUUAUAUGUAAGUACACUGUAGCUGUCUUCAGACACACCAGAAGAGGGAGUCAGAUCUUGUUACGGAUGGUUGUAAGCCACCAUGUGGUUGCUGGGAUUUGAACUCAGGACCUUUGGAAGAGCAGUCGGGUGCUCUUACCUGCUGAGCCAUCUCACCAGCCCCUGUGUCUAUUUCUACUUUCCCUAAAGAUACUUUUCUUUACGUGAAUGUGCCAUUGUAACAUAAAGCUUGUUGCUUUAUGGUUUAGAAAUCCUUAUAGCCUUGGGGAAAAUCUUUGGUGAAUCCAUUGCACAUCAUUUGCUCGAUUCUGAACCCCGAUUUUUGAGUAUUGUAAACAUGAAGUAUUGUCAUAUAGUAUGUGAAAAAUGUAAGGUUAUUAUUUAUUUUUUUUGUAAAUAAAACUUUGACCCUUUU
rnacentral:lncRNA from 1 species